UACGUAGGGGGCAAGCGUUGUCCGGAAUUAUUGGGCGUAAAGAGCGUGUAGGCGGUCCGGUAAGUCAGCUGUGAAAGUCAAGGGCUCAACCCUUGAAUGCCGGUUGAUACUGUCGGGCUAGAGUCCGGAAGAGGCGAGUGGAAUUCCCGGUGUAGCGGUGAAAUGCGCAGACAUCGGGAGGAACACCAAUGGCGAAGGCAGCUCGCUGGGACGGUACUGACGCUGAGACGCGAAAGCGUGGGGAGCAAACAGG
rnacentral:rRNA from 1 species